UACGGGGGGGGCAAGCGUUGUUCGGAAUUACUGGGCGUAAAGGGCUCGUAGGCGGCCAACUAAGUCAGACGUGAAAUCCCUCGGCUUAACCGGGGAACUGCGUCUGAUACUGGAUGGCUUGAGGUUGGGAGAGGGAUGCGGAAUUCCAGGUGUAGCGGUGAAAUGCGUAGAUAUUGGGAGGAACACCAGUGGCGAAGGCGGCGAUCUGGGAAGAUACUGACGCUGAGGUGCGAAAGCGUGGGGAGCAAACAGG
rnacentral:rRNA from 1 species